AAUUUUCGGCAAUGGACGAAAGUCUGACCGAGCAACGCCGCGUGAGUGAUGAAGGCCUUCGGGUCGUCAAGCUCUGUGGUAAAGGAAGAACAUCACAGAUAGGAAAUGAUCUGUGCCUGACGGUACUUUACUAGAAAGUCACGGCUUACUACGUGCCAGCAGCCGCGGUAAUACGUAGGUGGCAAGCGUUAUCCGGAUUUAUUGGGCGUAAAGGGUGCGCAGGCGGUUUGUUUAGUCUGAGGUGAAAGCGUUGAGCUCAACUCAAUUAAGCCUCAGAUACUGGCAAACUAGAGUGCAGAAGAGGGUUAUGGAAUUCCAUGUGUAGCGGUAAAAUGCGUAGAUAUAUGGAGGAACACCGGCGGCGAAGGCGGUAACCUGGUCUGUUACUGACGCUCAGGCACGAAAGCGUGGGGAGCAAAUAG
rnacentral:rRNA from 1 species